rnacentral:rRNA from 1 species
AUGCAUCCAACGGGGACAGACGCAUUUUUUGUCAUGUCCGCCUCGGCGUUCCAUCGAACACGUAGCAGGCAGGGAGGAGGACGAGCCCGCCAGAGCGGAGCACGGGCGCCGGAGGAGCACCAGCUCACCACGACGGAGCACAAGUGCCGGAGGAGGACGAGCCCGUUUGUCCUCUGUUGUUGUUGUUGUGCGAGCACGGGCGCCGGAGGAGGACCAGCCCGCCCGCCCUCUGCUGCUGCUGUGCGCGGGGGAGCAGGCACGGCCAGGCGUGGCCAAGAGCUCGGGAGCGGACAGGCACGGCCGGGCGCGGCCAGGAGCGCGGCCGGGAGAUCGGGAGCGGGCACGGCCGGGGGAGGCGAGGAGCACCGCUGGGCGCGGCGGAGCGCGGCCAGGAGCUCGACAAGGCCGGUCGCGGCAGCGCGAGCGUGGGGGAGGCGAGGUGCGGGUGACGGCGCGGGGAAGGCGAGGCCGAGGCGAGCGCGGGAGGCGAGGAGUUGCUCUAAGAGGCCCGCCCAUGUCCUGGUCGCUGGUGAGGAGGACCUUGCAGGGUGGCCCGUGGCCGCACCGACGUCGUCUUUGUGCAGUCGCGGCGUCGUCCAUGGACAGCUUGGCCGGCGGCGUAGGCUUGUAGCUAGCUAG